GCAUGUGCACGCCCUGCUCAUCCACUCUACACCUGUGCACUUACUGUGGGUUUACGGGUCGUGAAACGGGCUCGUUCAUUCGGGCUUGUUGAGCGCACUUGUUGCCUGCGUUUAUCACAAACUCUAUAAAGUAUCAGAAUGUGUAUUGCGAUGUAACGCAUCUAUAUACAACUUUCAGCAACGGAUCUCUUGGCUCUCGCAUCGAUGAAGAACGCAGCGAAAUGCGAUAAGUAAUGUGAAUUGCAGAAUUCAGUGAAUCAUCGAAUCUUUGAACGCACCUUGCGCUCCUUGGUAUUCCGAGGAGCAUGCCUGUUUGAGUGUCAUGAAAUCUUCAAUCUACAAACUUCUUAUGGGGCUUGUAGGCUUGGACUUGGAGGCUUGUCGGUCCCUUUACAAGGUCGGCUCCUCUUAAAUGCAUUAGCUUGGUUCCUUGCGGAUCGGCUUGUCGGUGUGAUAAUGUCUACGCCGCGACCGUGAAGCGUGUUUGGGCGAGCUUCUAAUCGUCUCGUUACAGAGACAACCUUUAUGACCUCUGACCUCAAAUCAGGUAGGACUACCCGCUGAACUUAAGCAUAUCAA
rnacentral:rRNA from 1 species